rnacentral:rRNA from 1 species
GAUCAAUCCUUCGGGAGAGUGAUUUGGUGGAAAGUGGCGGAAGGGUGAGGAACACGUGGGUAACCUACCCUCGAGUUUGGGAUAACCCCGCGAAAGCGGGGCUAAUACCUGAUGUGACAAGAAUCUCGCAUGGGAUUCUUUUUAAAGGUGGGGAUCUUUCGAGACCUGCCGCUUGAGGAGGGGCCCGCGUCCUAUCAGCUUGUUGGUGAGGUAACGGUUCACCAAGGCUUACGGGUAGCUGGUCUGAGAGGAUGGUCAGCCACACUGGGACUGAGACACUGCCCAGACUCCUACGGGAGGCUGCAGUCGAGGAUCAUUCGCAAUGCGCGAAAGCGUGACGAUGCGACGCCGCGUGGAGGAUGACUGCCUUCGGGUUGUAAACUCCUGUCAUUUGGGAACAAUUGUCCCUUCAUUAAUACUGUUGGGAUUUGAUAGUACCAGAAGAGGAAGCCACGGCUAACUCUGUGCCAGCAGCCGCGGUAAUACUGAGGUGGCGAGCGUUGUUCGGAUUUACUGGGCGUAAAGGGUGCGUAGGUGGUUAUGUGUGUUGGAUGUGAAAUCUCACUGCUCAACGGUGAAAUUGCAUUCAAAACUGCAAGACUAGAGUACUGGAGAGGAGAGCGGAAUUCCUGGUGUAGCGGUGAAAUGUGUAGAUAUCAGGAAGAACACCGGUGGCGAAGGCGGCUCUCUAGACAGAUACUGACACUGAGGCACGAAAGCUGGGGGAGCAAACAGGAUUAGAUACCCUGGUAGUCCCAGCUGUAAACGGUGUGCACUUGGUGUGGGGGGAGUUGAUCCCCUCCGUGCUGGAGCUAGCGCGUUAAGUGCACCGCCUGGGGAGUACGGCCGCAAGGCUAAAACUCAAGGAAAUUGACGGGGGCCCGCACAAGCGGAGGAGCAUGUGGCUUAAUUCGAUGCAACGCGAAGAACCUUACCAGGGCUUGACAUGUAGCUGCACGUCCCGUGAAAGUGGGAUUCCUUCGAGGGUGCUACACAGGUGCUGCAUGGCUGUCGUCAGUUCGUGCCGUGAGGUGUUGGGUUAAGUCCCGCAACGAACGCAACCCCUGUGUCUAGUUGCCACCAUCGGUGAUGAGCCGGUGAGCACUCUAGACAUACUGCCUGUUAUAAGCAGGAGGAAGGUGGGGAUGACGUCAAGUCCGUAUGGCCUUUAUGCCCUGGGCUGCACACGUGCUACAAUGGCCGGUACAGAAGGAUGCAAUGCCGCAAGGUGGAGCAAAUCCAAAAAACCGACCUCAGUUCGGAUUGGAGUCUGCAACUCGACUCCAUGAAGUCGGAUUCGCUAGUAAUGGCGCAUCAGCUACGGCGCCGUGAAUACGUUCCCGGGCCUUGUACACACCGCCCGUCACAUCAUGAAAGCCGUCUGCACCCGAAGUCGCUGAUCCAACCCUUCACAGGGAGGAAGGUGCCGAAGGUGUGGGUGGUGAUUGGGA